AUUGAACGCUGGCGACAUGCCUUACACAUGCAAGUCGAACGGCAGCACGGGUGCUUGCACCGGGUGGCGAGGGGCGAACGGGUGAGUAAUACAUCGGAACAGGUUCUGUAGUGGGGGAGAGCCCGGCGAAAGCCGGAUUAAUACCGCAUACGAACUACGGAUGAAAGCGUGGGACCGUCUGGCCUCGCGCUGUUGGGUUGGCCGAUGGCUGAUUAGGUGGUGGGUGGGGUAAAGGCCUAGCAAGGCGACGAUCAGAAUCUGGUCUCAGAGGAGGACUAGUCACACUGGGAGUGAGACAGGGCACACACUCUUAGGGGAGGAAGCAGUGGGGACUUUUGGACGAUGGGGGAAAGCCUGAUCCAGGAAUGCGGGGUGAGUCAAGAAGGACUUCGGGUUGUAAAGCAAUUUUGUCCGGAAAGAAAUCCUUGGCCCUAAUACGGUCGGAGGAUGACGGUACCGGAAGAAUAAGCACCGGCUAACUACGUG
rnacentral:rRNA from 1 species